GACGAACCGUCCAAACGUUGCUCGGAAUCACUGGGCUUAAAGGGCGCGUAGGCGGGUUCCCAAGUCGGUGGUGAAAUCUUUCGGCUCAACCGGAAAACAGCCGCCGAUACUGGGGACCUCGAGGGAGGUAGGGGUCGAGGGAAUUCCUGGUGUAGCGGUGAAAUGCGUAGAGAUCAGGAAGAACACCGGUGGCGAAAGCGCUCUGCUGGACCUUAACUGACACUGAGGGACGAAAGCUAGGGGAGCGAAUGGG
rnacentral:rRNA from 1 species